rnacentral:lncRNA from 1 species
CAGUAGAACGUUUCUUUUUCUUGGUAAACGCCGAAAAUUUCUUCAAGGACGGUUUAAAAAUUAAAGCUCGUGAUGGUACCUGAGGAAGAAUCACGUCCAUUUAACCCGUGCUGGAACCCACUGCUAAGAGACGUGUCCUGUUUGGAACCUGGCAUGUUCGAAAUCUUAGCCGGCCCACAGCUACCACAGCCAUGAGUCGCGUAGGAGAACUGGUCCGGGGAGGAGUGAACAGAACCGUGGUACACACGUGAGCCACGAUCGAGUAUCAGAUACCACACAUCAUGGACCUUAUUUCCCUUGACUUUUUGGGAGGUUGGGUUCACACGCCGGGUUUCGCCAGCAACUCAUGAGGCCGA